UAAACCUAGUGAAAGGAGGGG
rnacentral:piRNA from 1 species